rnacentral:ribozyme from 1 species
GUUGCUCAAAUGUGCUACCUCUCCGUGGUGAGCAGCAGGCAACGGAAUUAUCCGGCUAACAAGCUUUU